UUUGACUUGAAAACACCAAAUUUUAUAUGAAUUUUUCAAUUUUGUCUCAUGUCUUUGUUACUAAUCUAUUUUUUUUUUUUGCAGGUUUUUAAUUAUUUGGUACUCAUCUUCCACUAAUUUAAAGGUAGAUCUAUUAUUUUUAGAUAUGUAUUUUUGUGUGUUCUGUAAAGGUAGAUUUAUAUAAUCUUCCACUCAUUUUUUUCUGUUUUUAAGCCAUUUGAACGUUUUUGAAUAUGCAGGUUUUUCAGAUCUGGAUUUAAUAUGCAGGUUUUUCAGAUCUGGAAAACUUCUGGGACGACU
rnacentral:lncRNA from 1 species